rnacentral:rRNA from 1 species
GGUCCCGCCUGCCCCGUGACCAUGUGUUUAACGGCCGCGGUAUUUUAACCGUGCGAAGGUAGCGCAAUCACUUGUCCUUUAAAUGGAGACCAGUAUGAAUGGCAAGACGAGGGCUAAACUGUCUCCUCUUUCAAGUCAAUGAAAUUGAUCUCCCCGUGCAGAAGCGGGGAUACGCACAUAAGACGAGAAGACCCUGUGGAGCUUUAGACACCAAGACAACUCACGUUAAGAACCCCUAAACAAAGGGCUAAACUUAGUGAAACCUUGAUCUGAUGUCUUUGGUUGGGGCGACCACGGGGAGAGAAAAAACCCCCACGUGGAACGGGAGCACUGCUUCCCCCACAACUAAGAGCAACAGCUCUAAGCAACAGAACAUCUGACCUAAAGAUCCGGCUCUCCUGCCGAUUGACGAACCGAGUUACCCCAGGGAUAACAGCGCAAUCCCCUUUUAGAGCUCAUAUCGACAAGGGGGUUUACGACCUCGAUGUUGGAUCAGGACAUCCUAAUGGUGCAGCCGCUAUUAAGGGUUCGUUU